UACGUAGGGCGCGAGCGUUGUCCGGAAUUAUUGGGCGUAAAGAGCUCGUAGGCGGCCUGUUGCGUCCGCUGUGAAAGCCCGGGGCUUAACCCCGGGUCGGCAGUGGAUACGGGCAGGCUAGAGGUAGGUAGGGGAGAAUGGAAUUCCCGGUGUAGCGGUGAAAUGCACAGAUAUCGGGAGGAACACCGGUGGCGAAGGCGGUUCUCUGGGCCUUACCUGACGCUGAGGAGCGAAAGCGUGGGGAGCGAACAGG
rnacentral:rRNA from 1 species